UACAGAGGGUGCGAGCGUUAAUCGGAAUUACUGGGCGUAAAGGGUGCGUAGGUGGUUUUGUAAGUUAGAUGUGAAAUUCCUGGGCUUAACCUGGGGACUGCGUCUGACACUGCGAAGCUAGAGUACUGUAGAGGGAAGUGGAAUUUCCGGUGUAGCAGUGAAAUGCGUAGAUAUCGGAAGGAACAUCAGUGGCGAAGGCGACUUCCUGGACAGAUACUGACACUGAGGCACGAAAGCGUGGGGAGCAAACAGG
rnacentral:rRNA from 1 species